CCCUAACACAUGCAAGUCGAGCGGCAGCGGGGAGUAGUUUACUACUCUGCCGGCGAGCGGCGGACGGGUGAGUAAUGUCUGGGGAUCUGCCUGAUGGAGGGGGAUAACUACUGGAAACGGUAGCUAAUACCGCAUGACCUCGUAAGAGCAAAGUGGGGGACCUUCGGGCCUCACGCCAUCGGAUGAACCCAGAUGGGAUUAGCUAGUAGGUGAGGUAAUGGCUCACCUAGGCGACGAUCCCUAGCUGGUCUGAGAGGAUGACCAGCCACACUGGAACUGAGACACGGUCCAGACUCCUACGGGAGGCAGCAGUGGGGAAUAUUGCACAAUGGGCGCAAACGGUGAUGCAGCCAUGCCGCGUGUGUGAAGAAGGCCUUCU
rnacentral:rRNA from 1 species